UACGUAGGGGGCAAGCGUUGUCCGGAAUCAUUGGGCGUAAAGAGCGUGUAGGCGGCCCGGUAAGUCCGCUGUAAAAGUCAAAGGCUCAACCUUUGAAUGUCAGUGGAUACUGCCGGGCUAGAGUCCGGAAGAGGCGAGUGGAACUCCUGGCGUAGCGGUGGAAUGCGCAGAUAUCAGGAAGAACACCAACGGCGAAGGCAGCUCGCUGGGACGGUACUGACGCUGAGACGCGAAAGCGUGGGGAGCGAACAGG
rnacentral:rRNA from 1 species